GGUGAAGCAGAGCUUGCUCGGUGGAUCAGUGGCGAACGGGUGAGUAACACGUGAGCAACCUGCCCCUGACUCUGGGAUAAGCGCUGGAAACGGCGUCUAAUACCGGAUAUGAGCUGCGAUCGCAUGGUCGGCAGUUGGAAAGAUUUUUCGGUCUGGGAUGGGCUCACGGCCUAUCAGCUUGUUGGUGAGGUAAUGGCUCACCAAGGCGUCGACGGGUAGCCGGCCUGAGAGGGUGACCGGCCACACUGGGACUGAGACACGGCCCAGACUCCUACGGGAGGCAGCAGUGGGGAAAUUUUGCACAAUGGGCGGAAGCCUGAUGCAGCAACGCCGCGUGAGGGAUGACGGCCUUCGGGUUGUAAACCUCCUUUUAGCAGGGAAGAAGCGAAA
rnacentral:rRNA from 1 species